UACGAACCGUACAAACGUUAUUCGGAAUCACUGGGCUUAAAGGGUGCGUAGGCGGCCAUGUAAGUGAGGUGUGAAAUCCCUCGGCUCAACCGAGGAACUGCGCUUCAUACUGCAUGGCUUGAGGGAGACAGGGGUAAGCGGAACUGAUGGUGGAGCGGUGAAAUGCGUUGAUAUCAUCAGGAACACCGGUGGCGAAAGCGGCUUACUGGGUCUCUUCUGACGCUGAGGUACGAAAGCGUGGGGAGCGAACAGG
rnacentral:rRNA from 1 species